UACGGGGGGGGGCAAGCGUUGUUCGGAAUUACUGGGCGUAAAGGCGCGUAGGCGCCUUCUAAGUCAGACGUGAAAUCCCUCGGCUCAACCGAGGAACUGCGUCUGAUACUGGCUCGCUAGAGUGCGGUAGAGGAGAGUGGAAUUCCCGGUGUAGCAGUGAAAUGCGUAGAGAUCGGGAGGAACAUCAGUUGCGAAGGCGGCUCUCUGGACCAGCACUGACACUGAGGCACGAAAAGCGUGGGGAGCAAAACAGG
rnacentral:rRNA from 1 species